CACGGGUGUGUGCUUGGGCCGUGUGGUUUUGGCAGAAUGCCCAGGUUUUCAGACACAGGUUCGAGACAUAGGUGUGUCCCUAGCACACAGUCGUGUAUUCUAUACCCACACGGGCAUGUGGAGCUUUAAUGCAUGAGAUUUUCUAAGUUUUUCAUGAGUUCUCGGUUGGGUUUCGAACCACCCCGGAUGUAUGUUUUAGGCCUCGUAAGCCCGUAUAUGAGAUAGAUUGCUUGUGAAAAGAGAAAUUUUUAAAUUGUUUGAAAAUUUAC
rnacentral:lncRNA from 1 species